rnacentral:rRNA from 1 species
UACAGAGGUCCCAAGCGUUGUUCGGAUUUACUGGGCGUAAAGGGUGCGUAGGUGGUUGGAUAAGUUUGAUGUGAAAUCUCCGGGCUUAACCCGGAAAAUGCAUUGAAUACUAUCUAGCUUGAGAGUUGGAGGGGGGACUGGAAUGCUCGGUGUAGCAGUGAAAUGCGUAGAUAUCGAGCGGAACACCAGUGGCGAAGGCGAGUCCCUGGACAACUUCUGACACUGAGGCACGAAAGCCAGGGGAGCAAACGGG